CACAGACCAGGGCUGUGCCGACCGGUGGAGGGACACUAGGAGGGACCAGACCACCAUCUCCCUGCCAGCUGUCCGCCCUCCCCUAGGACCUUCACACUGGCUUUAAGGUGGACCCGGCACGUCUUCCCUUGGGUGUUGACACUGGGAAUGAAGCCAAGGAAGGUCAAAGGCCUCAGGCUGGAGCUGCCCACUCCAGGCAUCCGACGUGGUCACCUUGAGCACAGCUCCAUCAAACAAGCCUGCUGGCCUUGAAAAAGACUCAUCUUCAGCUUUCUCUCCAAAUCCUCCCCAGGCUUCACAGCAUGGGUCCUUCCCAGGGAGAAAUCAAGAUGAAAGAAUAAAAGCAGAGCUGGAUUCCAAUUCUACGCUGCUCUGGAUGAUUUGGGGCAAGUCACUUUCUCUUUCUCUGAACCUCGGCUUCCUAAUCUGUCACAGGAAAGUAGCUUUCCUUGCAGAGUUGUGUGAGGACUGAACACGGUGGGACCUGUGCCGGCAGGUACUCAGGAAGCCUGUUAGACCACAACUCAGAGGCCGUGGGGUCUGCCAUGGACGCUGCCUCCUAAAUCUCUCUCCUUUUGGCUCCUCUUUCUGUCCAUUGUCAUGGCCCUAGUCUGAGCUCCUGUUUCCCCCUGAAAGCAUUUACAUGAUGAAUUCCUGGGUGCCUCACUGGUCUCCCUAUUCCCUGUCUCUUCUGUCAGCCUCACAGGGCUGGAGAGGUGGCUCUCUCAGAUGCAAAUCAUUGUCCUGGCACUCCAGUGCCAUGCCUGACUUAGGAGCGAGAUGAAAUCCAACUGCCUUCAGAAGCAAGGAGUCCAUUGGUGAUCUGGCCCCAUCUUCCUCCUGGCUGUAUUUCCACACUGCCACUCAGUCUCCUCCCUCCCUCCAGCCCCUUGCUCCCACUCCCAUUGCACACGCUCUUCCUCGGCUUGGCAUGUCCGUACUCAGCGCAUCCAGCU
rnacentral:lncRNA from 1 species